UUAGGGAAAUAGAGGAGAGAGAGAGGGAAGAACAGAGAAAAGAGAGGUGGGAGAAAAUAAGGGAAUUGAGGUACAACAGAUGGUACAGGCUAGUGAAAGGAGAAGGGGUACCAGGAUAUCUGGGAAAGGGAUGGGGAGAAAGCAGGUGGAUAAGGGUGGCAAGACUUAGGUUAGGAAGCGAGAUGAAGGAGGCAAGGUACUGGGAAGAAGAGGAAGAGAGAAGAGCGUCGUGUAGGUAA